GACGAACGCUGGCGGCGUGCUUAACACAUGCAAGUCGUACGGUAAGGCCCUUUCGGGGGUACACUAAUGUUGAACGGGUGAGUAACACGUGAGUAACCUUCCCACAACUUUGGGAUAACGCUAGGAAACUGGUGCUGAUACUGGAUAUGUGCCCCUGCUUCAUGGUGGGGGUUGGAAAGCUCCGGCGGGUGUGGAUGUACUUGCUGCGUAUCAGCUUGCUGGUGUGGUAGUGGCCUACCAAAGCGGCUACGGGUAGCCGGCCUGAGAGGGUGACCGGCGACAUUGGGUCCGAGGUGAGGCACAGAUUCCGAAGGGAGGGAGCAGGGGGGAAUAUUGACCAAUGGGCGCCAGGUGGAUGAAGCAAGGCUGCGGGCGGGAUGACGGUCUUAGGGUUGUAAAACGCUUUCAGAAGGGACGAAGCACUUUGUGACGGUACCUAAACAAGAAGCAACGGCUAACUACGUG
rnacentral:rRNA from 1 species